rnacentral:rRNA from 1 species
CCGCAGUUAACACAAUAAGUAUUCCACCUGGGGAGUACGAUCGCAAGAUUGAAACUCAAAGGAAUUGACGGGGGCCCGCACAAGCAGUGGAUUAUGUGGUUUAAUUCGACGCAACGCGAAGAACCUUACCAGGAUUUGACAUCCCACUAACGAAGCAGAGAUGCAUUAGGUGCCCUUCGGGGAAAGUGGAGACAGGUGGUGCAUGGUUGUCGUCAGCUCGUGUCGUGAGAUGUUGGGUUAAGUCCCGCAACGAGCGCAACCCCUAUUGUUAGUUGCUACGCAAGAGCACUCUAGCGAGACUGCCGUUGACAAAACGGAGGAAGGCGGGGACGACGUCAAAUCAUCAUGCCCCUUAUGUCCUGGGCUACACACGUAAUACAAUGGUGGUUAACAAAGCGAAGCAAGACCGCGAGGUGGAGCAAAUCGCAAAAAGCCAUCCCAGUUCG